AAAUUGAAGAGUUUGAUCAUGGCUCAGAUUGAACGCUGGCGGCAGGCCUAACACAUGCAAGUCGAACGGUAGCACAGAGAGCUUGCUCUCGGGUGACGAGUGGCGGACGGGUGAGUAAUGUCUGGGAAACUGCCUGAUGGAGGGGGAUAACUACUGGAAACGGUGGCUAAUACCGCAUAACGUCGCAAGACCAAAGAGGGGGACCUUCGGGCCUCUUGCCAUCAGAUGUGCCCAGAUGGGAUUAGCUAGUUGGUGAGGUAACGGCUCACCAAGGCGACGAUCCCUAGCUGGUCUGAGAGGAUGACCAGCCACACUGGAACUGAGACACGGUCCAGACUCCUACGGGAGGCAGCAGUGGGGAAUAUUGCACAAUGGGCGCAAGCCUGAUGCAGCCAUGCCGCGUGUAUGAAGAAGGCCUUCGGGUUGUAAAGUACUUUCAGCGGGGAGGAAGGUGUUGUGGUUAAUAACCACAGCAAUUGACGUUACCCGCAGAAGAAGCACCGGCUAACUCCGUGCCAGCAGCCGCGGUAAUACGGAGGGUGCAAGCGUUAAUCGGAAUUACUGGGCGUAAAGCGCACGCAGGCGGUCUGUCAAGUCGGAUGUGAAAUCCCCGGGCUCAACCUGGGAACUGCAUUCGAAACUGGCAGGCUUGAGUCUUGUAGAGGGGGGUAGAAUUCCAGGUGUAGCGGUGAAAUGCGUAGAGAUCUGGAGGAAUACCGGUGGCGAAGGCGGCCCCCUGGACAAAGACUGACGCUCAGGUGCGAAAGCGUGGGGAGCAAACAGGAUUAGAUACCCUGGUAGUCCACGCCGUAAACGAUGUCUACUUGGAGGUUGUGCCCUUGAGGCGUGGCUUCCGGAGCUAACGCGUUAAGUAGACCGCCUGGGGAGUACGGCCGCAAGGUUAAAACUCAAAUGAAUUGACGGGGGCCCGCACAAGCGGUGGAGCAUGUGGUUUAAUUCGAUGCAACGCGAAGAACCUUACCUGGUCUUGACAUCCACGGAAGUUUUCAGAGAUGAGAAUGUGCCUUCGGGAACCGUGAGACAGGUGCUGCAUGGCUGUCGUCAGCUCGUGUUGUGAAAUGUUGGGUUAAGUCCCGCAACGAGCGCAACCCUUAUCCUUUGUUGCCAGCGAUUAGGUCGGGAACUCAAAGGAGACUGCCAGUGAUAAACUGGAGGAAGGUGGGGAUGACGUCAAGUCAUCAUGGCCCUUACGACCAGGGCUACACACGUGCUACAAUGGCGCAUACAAAGAGAAGCGACCUCGCGAGAGCAAGCGGACCUCAUAAAGUGCGUCGUAGUCCGGAUUGGAGUCUGCAACUCGACUCCAUGAAGUCGGAAUCGCUAGUAAUCGUGGAUCAGAAUGCCACGGUGAAUACGUUCCCGGGCCUUGUACACACCGCCCGUCACACCAUGGGAGUGGGUUGCAAAAGAAGUAGGUAGCUUAACCUUCGGGAGGGCGCUUACCACUUUGUGAUUCAUGACUGGGGUGAAGUCGUAACAAGGUAACCGUAGGGGAACCUGCGGUUGGAUCACCUCCUUA
rnacentral:rRNA from 1 species